CCUAUUAUAUCCCAUCCCUUCCUGUCCUAUCCCAUCAUAUUCCAUCCUAUCCUAUCCCAUCCUAUCCCAUCCUGUCCCAUCCUGUCCUAUCCUAUCCUAUCCUAUCAUAUCCCACCUUGUCCUAUCCCAUCCAAUACCAUCCAAUCUUAUCCUAUCCAAUCCCAUCCUGUCCUAUCCCAUCCAAUCAUAUCCCAUCCUAUCCUAUACUAUCCAAUCAUAUCCUAUCCUAUCCCAUCCUGUCCCAUCCUAUCCCAUCCUAUCCCACCCUAUCCUGUACUAUACAAUCGCAUCCUAUACUACCCCAUCCUUUCCUAUCCCAUCCCAUCCUAUCAUAACCUAUCCUAUCCCAUCCUAUCAUAUCCCAUCCCAUCCCAUCCUAAACCAUUCCAUAUUAUCCUAUCCUAUCCAAUCCUAUCCGAUCCCAUUCUAUACCAUCCCAUUUUAACCCAUCCGAUCCUAUCCCAUCCUAUCCUGUCCCAUCCUAUCCCAUCCUAUUCCAUCCCAUCCUAUCCUAUUAUAUCCCAUCCUUCCGAUCCCAUCCUAUCAAAUCCCAUCCUAUCCUAUCCAAUCCCACCCCACCAUAUCCCAUCCUAUCCUUUACUAUCCCAUCAUAUCCUAUCCUUUCCUAUCCCAUCCUGUCCUAUCCUAUCCCAUCCUAUCCCAUUCUAUCCUAUUAUAUCCUAUCCCAUCCUAUCCCAUCCUAUCCCACCUAUUUUCAUCCUAUUCCAUCCUAUCCCACCCUAUCCUGUACUAUACAAUCCCAUCCUAUACUACCCCAUCCUUUCCUAUACCAUCCCAUCCUAUCAUAACAUAUCAUAUCCCAUCCUAUCAUAUCCCAUCCCAUCUUAUCCCAUUCCAUCCUAUCCCAUCCUAUCCCAUCCUAUCCUAUCCCAUCCCAUCCAAUUCUCUCCCAUCCCAUCCUAUCCUAUCCAAUCCCUUCCUUUCCCAUCCUAUCCCAUCCUAUCCUAUCCCAUCCUAUCCCACCUAUUCCCAUCCUAUACUACCCCAUCCUUUCCUAUCCCAUCCCUUCCUAUCCCAACUCAUCCAAUACCAUCCCAUCCUAUCCUAUACUAUCCUAUCCUAUCCUAUCCUAUCCUAUCCUAUCCUAUCCUAUCCUAUCCUAUCCUAUCCUAUCCCAUUCUAUCCCAUCAUAUCCUAUCCUUUCCUUUCCCAUCCUGUCCCAUCCUAUCCCAUCCUAUCCCACCUAUUCCCAUCCUAUUCCAUCCUAUCCCACCUUAUCCUGUACUAUACAAUCCCAUCCGAUACUACCCCAUCCUUUCCUAUCCCAUCCUUUCCUAUCCCAUCCCUUCCUAUCCCAAGUCAUCCAAUACCAUCCCAUCCUAUCCCAUCCCAUCCCAUCCCAUCCUAUCAUAUCCCAUCCCAUACUAUCCUAUCCCAUCCUAUCCUAUUCCAUCAUAUCCCAUCCUAUUCCAUCCUAUCCUAUCAUAUCUCAUCCUUUCCUUUCCUAUCCCAUCCUGUCAAGUCCCAUCCUAUCCUAUCCAAUCCCUCCCCACCAUAUCCCAUCCUAUCCUUUACUAUCCCAUCAUAUCCUAUCCUUUCCUUUCCCAUCCUGUCCCAUCCUAUCCCAUCCUAUCCCAUCCUAACCCAUCCUAUCCUAUCCUAUCCCAUCCUAUCCCAUCCUGUCCCAUCCUAUCCCACCUAUUCCCAUCCUAUUCCAUCCUAUCCCAUCCUAUCCUAUCCUAUCUUAUCCUAUCCUAUCCCAUCCCAUCCCAUUCUAUCCCAUCCUAUCCUAUACUAUCCUAUCCCAUCCUAUCCCAUCUUAUUCCAUUUCAUCCUAUCCUGUCCUAUCUCAUUCUAUCCACCCCUAUCCCCUCCUAUCCUAUCCCAUCCUAUCCCAUUCUCUCCUAUCCCAUCCCAUCCCAUCCUAUCCUAUGUUAUUCCAUCACAUUCCAUUCUAUCCCUUCCUAUGCUAUUCCAACCUACCCCAUCCUAUCCCAUCCUAUCCCAUCCCAACCUACCCCAUCCUAUCCCAUCCCAACCUACCCCAUCCUAUCCCAUCCCAUCCUAUUCCAUCCUAUCCCAUCCUAUCAUAUCCCACCCUAUCCCAUCCUUCCUAUCCCAUCCUAUCCCAUUCUAUCCUAUCCCAUCCCAUUCUAUCCCAUCCCAUCCUAUCCCAUCCUACCCCAUUCUAUGCAAUCCCAUUCUAUCCCAUCCUAUCCUAUCCUUUCCUUUCCCUUCCUAUCCCAUCCAAUUCUCUCCCAUCCCAUUUUAUCCCAUCCUAUCCUAUCCCAUCUUUUCCCAUCCUAUCCCACCUAUUCCCAUCCUAUUCCAUCCUAUCCCAUCCUAACCUAUCCUAUUCAUCCCAUUCCAUUCUAUCCCUUCCUAUGCUAUCUCAACCUACCCCAUCCCAUCCUAUCCCAUCCUAUCCAAGUUAUCCCUUCCCAUCCUUUCCCAUCCUAUCCCCUCCUAUCCUUUCCUUUCCUAUCCCAUCCUAUCCUAUCCUAUCCCAUCCCAUCCAAUUCUCUCCCAUCCCAUUCUAUCCCAUCCUAUCCUAUCCUAUCCCUUCCUUUCCCAUCCCAUCCUAUCCCAUUCUAUCCCAUCCCAUCCCAUCCCAUCCUAUCCCAUCCCAUUCUAUCCCAUUCUAUCCUAUCCCAUCCUAUCCCGUCCUAUCUCAUCCCAUCCUAUCCUGUCCUAUCCCAUCCAUUCUAUCCCAUCCCAUCGCAUUCUAUCCCAUCCUAUCCCAUCCCAUCCCAUCCUAUCCCAUCUUAUCUCAUCCCAUCCUAUCCUAUCCCAUCCCAUUCUAUCCUAUCCCAUCCCAUUCUAUCACAUCCCAUUCUAUCCCAUCCCAUCCCAACCUUCCUAUCAUAUCCCAUCCCAUCCUAUCCUAUCCCAUCCCCUAUCCUAUCUUAUCCUAUCCUAUCCCAUCCCAUUCUAUCCUAUCCCAUCCCAUUCUAUUACAUCCCAUUCUAUCCCAUCCCAUCCCAUCCCAACCUUCCCAUCCCAUUCUAUCCCAGCCCAUCUUAUCCCAUCCUCUCCUAUCCUUUCCCAUCCUAUUCUAUCCCAUCCCAUUCUAUCCCAUCCUAUCCCAUCCUAUCCUAUCCCAUCCCAUCCCAUCCCAUUGUAUCCUAUCCCAUGCUAUUCCAUUCUUUUCCAGCCUAUCCUAUCCUAUCCUAUCCUAUCCUAUCCUAUCCCAUCCUAUCCCAUCCUAUUCCAUUCUAUCCCUGGGACAUCCAUCAGUAA
rnacentral:lncRNA from 8 species